GGGAAAACCAGCCUGGCAACAUAAGCUCACAAGCUAUCAGAAAGUUGUAUGGCAACCACCUCCGGCGCCAAAUAGAACUGGCAGACAUAGACAUUCAGUACAAGAAGAAAAAGAUGGAAAAUCUUGCACUGGAGUCCGAAAUAAAAAAAGAGGACAAUUAGGAAACUGGACCUUGAAAUAAAAAAACUUUAGAGGGAGCUCCAAGAAGAUGACACAGCUCAAAAUAAAAAUUAGCAAUCAGUACAACCAAGUCAUCGUUAUAAGGCACCGGCCUCUUUUGCCCACCCCCCCAGCACCAGGUGUGGCCACUAGCCUAUAUGAAGGCCCAAAAUUGUGUGUUCCUUUCUGCUCUGACAAUGGCAUGCCCAUUCUUGCGAGAUGUGGUGGAUGAAGAAGCACUUGUGCUGAGGAGAGCCUUCAGGCGAGAAAGGGUCUUCAGGGACCGGUUGGACCCACUGGCCUUCCCUGAUGACCAUCUAUAUGAAAGAUACAGGUUUUCUGCAGAUGGCAUCAGGUAUCUAUGCAGACUACUGGGUCCCAGGAUUAAGCACCGCACUGCACGGAGCCAUGCACUGAGUGUGGAGCAAAUGGUUUGUGUGGCCUUGCGCUUUUUUGCAAGUGGAGCUUUCCUGUACUCAGUGGGGGAUGCAGAACAGCUGAACAAGGCCACAAUUUGCCGCACAAUAAGUGUGUGUCUGGCUAUCAAAGCAUUAGCAGAUGUCUUCAUCUCCUUCCCUGGCCACAGAAGACUCUGUGACAUCAAAGAGGAGUUCUAUAGGAUUGCAGGUAAGAGGAUCUACAAAUUACAGGACAACUGUUAACACCUAGUAGGAUACUCAUUACUUUGUGUGACGGGUUUCCCCAAUGUCAUUGGUGCAGUGGACUGCACACACAUAAGGAUAAAAGCCCCCUCAGGUGCCCAUGAGGCCGAUUUUGUGAAUAGGAAAUCCUUUCACAGCAUUAAUGUUCAGAUGGUCUGCAAUGCUGACUGUGUGAUCAGCAAUGUUGUGGCAAAAUGGCCUGACUCAGUCCAUGACUCCAGAAUCUUUCGGGCCUCUGAAAUCUAUCAGUGCCUAUCACAAGGUGAAUUCUCUGGUGUGUUGCUGGGAGACAGGGGGUAUGGCUGCCAGCCUUUUCUCCUGACACCUUUCACAGACCCCCAGGAAGCACAGCAGGCCUACAACCAUGCCCAUGCCAGGACCAGGGCCAGAGUUGAAAUGACCUUUGGCCUCCUGAAGGCACGCUUUCACUGCCUUCACAAAUUAAGGGUCAGCCCUGUUAGGGCAUGUGAUAGUACUGUGGCUUGUG